rnacentral:rRNA from 1 species
UUUGUCAAUACUUUGAAAUGAAGUUGAUUUUGCUUUUUUAAUUAAUUAUUAGAAUGAUAGUUUUAUAUGCUAGUUUUUUGCGUGAUUUUGGAUAUAUCUUAAUGAUUUAUUUCUGUUUAUUUGUAGUUUAUAAUUUUGGUUUUAAUAAAUAGGUUUAGCACCAGCUAAUUUUUUAAGAAUUGUAUAAAGUUGUGCCAGCGUAUGCGGUUAUACAAUUUAAUUCGAGUUAAUUUUUUUGGUUUAUAUUAAUUUUUAUUUAUUAGGAAUUUAAUUUUUUUUAUUAAGUGAAAUUUUUAAUUUUGAUUAUAUUUUCUUGGUUAAGAUUAUAUGAAAUUUAGGUUUUAAACUAGGAUUAGAU